rnacentral:rRNA from 1 species
UAACGCGUGGGCAACCUGCCUUACNCAGGGGGAUAACAGUUAGAAAUGACUGCUAAUACCGCAUAAGACCGCAGUACCGCAUGGUACAGCGGUAAAAACUCCGGUGGUGUAAGAUGGGCCCGCGUCUGAUUAGGUAGUUGGCGGGGUAACGGCCCACCAAGCCGACGAUCAGUAGCCGACCUGAGAGGGUGACCGGCCACAUUGGGACUGAGACACGGCCCAGACCCCUACGGGAGGCAGCAGUGGGGAAUAUUGCACAAUGGGGGAAACCCUGAUGCAGCGACGCCGCGUGAGCGAUGAAGUAUUUCGGUAUGUAAAGCUCUAUCAGCAGGGAAGAAAAUGACGGUACCUGACUAAGAAGCCCCGGCUAACUACGUGCCAGCAGCCGCGGUAAUACGUAGGGGGCAAGCGUUAUCCGGAUUUACUGGGUGUAAAGGGAGCGUAGACGGCUGUGCAAGCCAGAUGUGAAAGCCCGGGGCUCAACCCCGGGACUGCAUUUGGAACUGCGUGGCUUGAGUGUCGGAGAGGCAGGCGGAAUUCCUAGUGUAGCGGUGAAAUGCGUAGAUAUUAGGAGGAACACCAGUGGCGAAGGCGGCCUGCUGGACAAUGACUGACGUUGAGGCUCGAAAGCGUGGGGAGCAAACAGGAUUAGAUACCCUGGUAGU